CUCCUCCCGCGCGCCAGAGCCCCGCCCGCCGCCGCCGGGUCCGCCCCGCGCCCCGCGCGCGCCCAGCAGGUGAAAGUCCCCGCAGCGCCUAGCCGGGACCUGGGAACUUCGCCCCGGCGGCCUCACCGUACGAUCGGGGCGACCUAGGACCGCAGCGACCCAGGCGCAGUCUGUUCUGCUGGUAGCGGCGAAGCAGUAUCGCCUCGCAUUUGUUUGUUUGUUUUGUUUUGUUUCGUUUGGGGAGCGGGAGAGGAGUGGUGUUUAUUGCUUUUUGUUGUUCUGUUUUCCCAAGAAGGCCCAAGCUCUGUCCCAGAUACCCUUGAUCUGGACUGCCUUAAUUCCAAGAUUCCUGCUUCUCUUAAGAAUCAAGGCGAAAUUCAAAUAGAGGCACUGUCCCCAGUGCUUUUUUGUCCCUUUGGGUGUGUGGCUUGCAUUUGGGGGCACAGCAGGGUGUCUUUGAGAAGAAUUUAAAUAUUUAAGAGUCGUCAGCCUUUUAGAAGUAGGCGGAAAUGGGAACACUAGGAACAAGAGAUUCCAGGGUGUUCUUAUGCCCUUAAACUUCUAUAACUGAGUAUUGAUUUAAAAAAAAAAAAAAAGGGUUGCCAAAAUUCUGUGAGGUUUCUUAAUAAUGAGCAAAUGAAGCAGCCAUAGGAGGAUUUAGAGACCAAAUAUUCACUGUGUGUCAAAAACACGUCAUCGAUAGUGUUGUGUAACAGUUUCCUCUGAGAUUGAAACAUUCCACCCUACAGGGAGGCUCCUUAAGCAGGAAAAGCAAACAACUCAAAUUAGCUUCAGGAAGUCCCUGAAACUGGCCAGAUCCACUAGGCCCCUCCCUGGCAGAGUAAGCAAUAAAAGCUGUGAGUCUCAGAUAAUGUGAAGCUGAGCUGCAAAGAAGACUCUGAGACCAGACCAGAUGCCUGGAAAAAGCAGAAACCAGCCCAACAGUCUGGAAGAAGUUUAGAUCAGAGCCGCUCAGAAAGCACACUCUCCAACCUGUCGAGCUGCCUGCAGGCUGUGCAGUGUGCUCCAGGUUCCUAGCUUUUGUGAGCGGUCACCCAUCCUGGGGUGGAACUUGGUGAUGUAGCUGUCUUUGAGUCAUUUCUGCUCCUGUAAGUAACCUCACCCAUAUUCCUGUAAAUAACCCCAGUAAAAGCCAUUGGUUCAACCAACUUGGACUUCGGUGGUAUCUAUACAUUGGUCUGUAGUGAGUUUCCUAUCUAGGGUAAAUAGAUGUGUUUGCUGUAUCUCCCCAGGAAAAGUUUGUCACACAAUGUACAGGUACAUAGUAGCUGCAAUGGACCUCUUCAUAGCACCAGACUCCCCAACGGUAACCAGCUGAGCUAGUGUCAAAGCUAAGAUGGCUGAGAUGAAAAUGAUCCAUGUUCGUUAUACAAACAUGUUCUGAUUGCUAACGUCGUCAGCUCAACGAGAUCUAGAAUCUUCUGGGAGACAGCCCUCUGUCAUGUCUGUGAGGGAGGCUCCACACUGGGUAACUGGGAUGAGAAGACCCACCCUAGGGGUGGGUGGCACCAUCCCAUGGGCUAGGGUCCAGAACUGUAUAAAAAGGAGAAAGGGAGCUGGGACCAGAAUUCAUCUCUCUCUGCUUCCUGACUGUGGUUGCAAUGUGACCAGUUACCUCACGCUCCUGUCAGCAUGCCUUCCCCACCAUGACAGACUAUGUAUGCUGGAAUACUGAAGCCAAAUAAAUCCCUCCUCCCUUAGGUAGUGCUUUUUCAGACAGUCGAUCACAGCAACAAGAAAAGUAACAAAUACAUCUCUUUUGUUUGGUUUUGUCUUAGUUUAGGUUUGGGUUGUAUUCUCCCAGUACUAGGGAGUCUACCACCGAGCCCACCCUUUACUUUUUGUUUUAAAACAGUCUCACUGAAUAGUCCAAGCUUGCCCUGAACCUGCAAUCCUCCUGCCUCAUCCUCACCAGUGGCUGGGAUUACAGGCCAGCAUCACCAGGCCCAGAAUAACCCUGCCUCGAAUGCUCUGUGGACACAUCCACCCUAACCAUUCUUAUCUUGUCGCAUAGGCAACCCUUGACAUCUGCGUGAACUACCCCCGAAGAAACCACUCUGUGUCAUCUUCGUGAUAAAUUUAUGCAAGUGAAUACAUUAUUGCCCUGAUGAUAUUUCUUAUCUUGUCUCCUAGGGUGAAAAGUACAGCUGCCCUUUGCUGUACACUCCCGUUCCCUGUCUGCACAAAUUCCCGUGAAGAGAUACCAUCUUUCUGGGAUAUCUCCCUAAGUAAAAGCAAGCCAGUGACUAGGACAAAUUAAUCACAUACAUUAUGCGGCACAGACUUUAUUAUAUUCGUAAAGAUUGGAGCUACAAACAAAUCUUCAUUUGACAGAUGAGGAAGCUGAGGCCGAGAAAAGGAAAUCCUUUGUAUUGAUGGAAAAGCAGCCAAGUUCAGCUGUCCUGCUGCUGCUGCUCCUUCUUUCAUCAAUGUUAGAACCAAGUCUUCAGGAUUCCAACAGAGGCUGAAGCCUGGCAACUCUCUAGACCUCCAGCGUCAGACUGGGAUCAAGUCUUACAGACUGAACAACUACCAACUCUCGUCACCUCCAGUGUGAGGCAGCCACUGCUGGAUCACUCGGACUGCAUCCUAAAAUCGGAAAACAGCUUCCUCUGAGCGAAACAGGAGUGACGAAGGCCAAGGAAUGUGAACGGAAGUCACCUCAAGUGGCAUGUUCUGCCAUGGAAGAGGUGACAUGAACUCAUGGCCACAGAACAAAAGAGCCCAUGUCAAAACAUACACCAAUCACACUGGGGCUUCGCUGCAUGUCAUGACUCUCCUGGACAUGUAAGCGAUAUGUCUAUUCACCAAAAGUAGGGAGAAACUCACAGAUAAAAAGAUUCCUCGGGGUCAGUUUAUUGGAACCCACCUCAGUCAAUUUCCUACUCUUAGACACUUGAGCAUUUCUCGGUUCCAUGUACUGGAGCAGUAGACAGUGGUAGUUAUAACAUCAAAAGAGAGUCCUAGGGGGCGUCUGUGGCUCUCCCUCCCCUUCUCCAAGAGGAAAUGUUAACACACUCAUUUCUCUGCUGUUUAGUUCUCUUCUGUUCCUGUGAUGGCUGCCACAGCUCCUGUAGGUCGUCAUAGCUGCUCUACUUUGUGAUGAUCAUGGGUAAAUGAAGCCCAGAGAAAACAUCUAUGAGAUGCCUUCGCAAAUUCUAGCUUGAUUUUUUUUUAACCGAAAAAGACUUAAUUUUAGAAUUUAUAAAGCACAGCAAAAGCUUAAAAUAUUCUAAUUAGCAGUGAGGUGUGGUGGAUCAAGCCUGUAAUCCCAGUACUUGGAAUGUUAAGGCAGGAGGGUUGCCAUGAAUUCUAGUCCAUCCUGGACUAGAGUGAGACCCUAUGUGGGAGUUUGAGUGAGAAAUGCCCCCCUAGGCUCACAGAUUCAAGCACCCAGUCCCCUGUUGGUGUUGCUGCUUGGGGAGAUUAUGGAAUCUUCUUUGGAAGGUAGAGGCCUGCUGGAACAAGUAGUCACUGGGGUGGACUUGGAGAGUUCAACAGCCUUGUGCCACUUCAGCUCACUCUCUCUGUCAUGUUAGUGGCUGAGGAUGUGUUCUCUCAGUGUCUGGCUCCUGCUACAUGCUGCCAUGCCUCCACCAUAAUGGACUCGUAUCCCUCUGGAACCAUAAGCCCAAAUAAACUCUUCUAUGAGUUGUC